rnacentral:ncRNA from 1 species
CGGCAAAUCAGUCGAAAGGCUGAGACGCAAAGCUAUGGUGUCUGAACGAUAUUUUCGCAUGACCGACCGGCUGCAG